rnacentral:rRNA from 1 species
UACGUAGGGUGCGAGCGUUGUCCGGAAUUAUUGGGCGUCCCGCGCUUGUCGGCGGUUUGUCGCGUCUGCCGUGAAAAUUCGAGGCUCAACCUCGAACUUGCGGUGGGUACGGGCAGACUAGAGUGUGGUAGGGGAGACUGGAAUUCCUGGUGUAGCGGUGAAAUGCGCAGAUAUCAGGAGGAACACCGAUGGCGAAGGCAGGUCUCUGGGCCACUACUGACGCUGAGAAGCGAAAGCAUGGGGAGCGAACAGG